CAGAGGGCCGUAAGUUUUCUCUUGGCUUUUUUUAUUAGCUUCACCAUCUUUUAUCGUCCUCUGGGUCUUCGUACUCCUCAGGUUCGUCGUCGUUGCUACCGAAAUCUAAUCAAAAUCAGAAAUAUGGGUCAUUUUAAUCUCAUACAAUCUGCAAUCGUCCUCUGACACGUCAUCUUCAUCCUACCGUCGUCGUCGCCGAAAUCUCUGCUGCGAAGAAAGAUAGAGACAAGGAGUCGGCAUACAAAAAGCUUGGCAAUGGGAAUGGAAAAAAACAGUAAUGAUAUGGAGGAGGGAACGCUAGAGAUUGGCAUGGGUAUUUUGUAAAGUGAAUUUUCUAAUUAUUUCAUAUGUUUAAUGUUAUUUUGCGAAUGCUGCGGUAGAUUUUUUAUACUUUUGACAGAUGGGGAGGGCGGUCGGAUUAUGUAUUCACACAGCUUCAAGGUGAUUUUAUGAGACCCAGGAUUAAUUAGGUGGAUGAGCUACUUGCAAAAGGGGUGAAUGUCACCAUAUGCAAUGGGCAACAAAGGGAACUGAAGCAUGGAAUUUAUUAAAUAUAACAGAUUUGUUCAGCUCUUAGAUAGAUAUCAGAGUUGCUUUGGGAUCAGGGUGUGUACAGCGGCGAAGGAAUCAUCAACUGAAUAGCUGUUUAGAAGAAGAUAGUGCUUAUUGCUAUUGUUGCUUUAUGUAUAUAAAUGUUCAACAACAUAAUAAUUAGACAUUCUGGGAUAUGUGAAGGCCAACUCUACGCAGAGUCAUUUACCAAAUUAAGGACCAUAAAAAUUAGACAAUGUGAUGAGUUAGAGCAUAUCUUAAUCUCCAUGGCAAGAAACCUUUCACAUCUCCAAAAAGUCGAAGUGACUGAUUGCAAGAACCUAAAAGAGAUUUUUGGUGAUGAAGAAAUUGAAGAAUCUACUAAACAUGUUGAUCAAAGGGUUGUAUUCCCAAAAAUUUUAAGGUUGCUGUGAAGGUAUGUCAUUCUUUGAAAUUUAUAUUUCCAUCUGCUGUGGUUGAACUCCCAACGUUGAAUGCAAUUCACAUUGAGGGUUGUUAGAGUUUGAAGACUUUCUUCUCCAAGAAAGAAUGUGAAGAAAUCAACUUAGAGAAUGACACCACUGUUAUACAUCCUUUCUUUGAUGAAAAGGUUCAUUGUCCAAGCUUGGAGAAGACGGUACUCUCACAGUUGGAUAACAUCCAAUUAAUAUGGCACAAUAAACUCGAAGCAAAUUCUUUUUGCAAACUCAAGGUUUUGAGAGUUGAAUUUUGUGGAAAAUUACCCAGUUUUGUUCCUCCUGACACACUCAGAAGAUUACCAAAGAAUCCAAAAACAUUUCACACCUUUCAAAAUCUAGAAAUUGUAAGGGUUAUAGAAUGUUGGAGUAUGAAAAACCUCUUUCCAGUCUCUAUAGCUGCAGGUCUCUGAAAACUUAAAAGAGAUUGAGAUAAAUUCUUAUGGGUUGGAGGAAAUUGUUGCCAUGGAGAAAGUAGAAGUGCCUCCUAAGUUUGAGUUUCCUCAACUUUUCAACAAAAAAAAAAAAAAAAAAAAA